UAGGUUGGUGCAAAAUGUAAUACUUUUAUUGCAUUGAAAGUAAUGGCAAAAACCACAGUUACUUUUGCACCUACCUAAUAGAAA
rnacentral:miRNA from 1 species